CCUUUUAAAAUAACCGCAAAAACCCUUUAAUCUAUCCAUCCCCUUUCUAAUUUUAAUAACAACAACUUCAGCCAGCCCAAAAACAACAAUACCCGGCCCGCAUCAGCAGUCCAAGAUAUGCCAAAUUGACCCGGACCAUUUCUUUUUCUUCUAUACCCGAUACCUCAAAUAACAGCUUCUUCAACACAGCAACGUAUAGUACAACACAGCAACAGCAAACAACGACAACAUCGAUGCCAAACAAUGCUCAAACCACUGGAUAAUGGAAAAUUCGAUGGUUUUCCACCUCUCCCCUCGUCGGUCCUCUCUCGUCCCCCACGUUUCCAUCAACGCCUCUUUUAACAUCACCUCAAAUUCUCUUUCUCUUCCUAUCUUUUCUGAAAAAAAUCAGUCCAAAAGGGAUUUUUUUUUCUCCAUUGCAGAGCUCUGAAAAGAGAGGUAUAUGGGAAUUCAAUGGUUUUUGGGGUAUUGUUUCUUUGAUUCAGUGGGCAAACAAUUGCUCACCUUGAAGAACCUAAAUUUUCAAAAUCUUUCAAAUCCUUUCUGAAAAGGUAAUUUCUUUUCUCAAUACUCAAAACCGUCAUUUAAUUUGAAAUUUCUUAAAGCUUCAGAGAGAAGUUGCUGCAGCCCAGAUUUUGGUAUAUAAAAGGGGGGUUUUCCCACCCCUUUUAGUGGAGGAAGGGAUAGAGAAAUUGGGGAAUACUUUGAGUUUUCACAUACUCUUUCAUUCACUAUUUUCUCUAUAUUUUUUUCUUUGAUUUUCUCACGUCGUUCUCAUUAUUUCCUUUCGUCGUUCAAACUCGGAGUCGGAGUCAGUGGUGGAAUCGCUCUUUGACUUGGCUUCCUGGUUCGCUGCCCCAAAAAAGACUCCCAUCUAUCGCAUUCCGUUGGGUUAAAACCAACCCCCAUUGAGUCAAACCUUAUCAAAGUCCAAGAAAUGGACUGAUAUAUGCAGGACGACACCGGUAUACAAUUGUAUACAGCUGAUAUACACUUGGACGCAGCAGCUAUAUACAGAAAACGAAAGAAAAAGGAGUUGCUGAUAUACAGCUUGUAUACAUGGAAAAAAGGGACUAGUCCAAUCUGGACAGCUUACAUCAGUGGGCC